rnacentral:rRNA from 1 species
UACGUAGGGGGCAAGCGUUGUCCGGAUUUAUUGGGCGUAAAGAGCUCGUAGGUGGUUCGGUAAGUCGGAUGUGAAAUCUCCAGGCUCAACCUGGAGGGUCAUUCGAUACUGCCGUGACUAGAGGUCGGUAGGGGAGUGUGGAAUUCCUGGUGGAGCGGUGAAAUGCGCAGAUAUCAGGAGGAACACCCGUAGCGAAGGCGGCACUCUGGGCCGAAUACUGACACUGAGGAGCGAAAGCGUGGGGAGCGAACAGG